rnacentral:lncRNA from 1 species
UUUUUUUUUUCUUCUUUUUUCUUUUCCCAGUCUGUAGGUUGCCAUUUUGUCCUAUUGACAGUGUCCUUUGCCUUACAGAAGCUUUCCAGUUUCAUGAGGUCCCAUUUAUCAAUUGUUGAUCUUAAAGCUCGAGCCAUUGGUGUUCUGUUUAGGAAAAUUUUCCCUGUGCAUUCAUGGCUAUUUCCCACUUUUCUUCUAUUAAAUUCAGUGUAUCUGGUUUAAUGUUGAGGUCUUUGAUUCUCUUGGACUUGAGCUUUGUGCUCCCUCCCUCUUUCCUUCCCUCUCUUUUUUCUCUCUUCUUCUCCUUCCCUCCUUUCCUUUAACCCUCUUUCUUCCCUUCUCCCCCCUCUCCCUCUCCUUUUAUCCUUCUCCCCCUCACUCCACCUUCUCAUAAACUGCCUAAAAUUAGUUUCCAUUCAAACCAUCAUGAUUUGAAAAUAAGUAAAUAUGUAGUUCUUUUAUUUAAUUGUCUCGGUAUAAUCUCUCCAACUGUGAAAACGUGAUAGCACAGGAUAAUGUAAGCAGUUUUCAGGGGGAGGGAACCUUACAAAGCCCCAAGGUAUACAUAACUAAUCAUUAUCCUAAUAAGAUUUUGCUUCUGAGAAAACAUACCUAUACUAAGCAGAACCAAGCAUAUAGUACUUGGAACACAGAAAGUUGAUUGAGGUGUUCUAUAAAAUGUACCCUGAACUGUCAAGGAAGACUUAGCAUAUGAAUGUCUUUAUCACACUGGCUUGAAUAGCCACACAGUGCUAGUCAGACACCAGAUGAAGCACAGGGGAAGGUGAGUCCUAAAUAUUCUCUGUACCUGAAUCUAGGGAGGUGGCUCGGGGGCUAAGAACACUGGCUGUUCUUCUAGGGUACCUGAAUUCAAUUCCCAGCACCUACAUGGCAAUUCACAACCAUUUGUAACUUCAAUCUCAUAUCCAACACCCUCUUCUGGUCUUUGCAGUCACCAGGCAGGAAUGUGGUACACAGACAUUAUGCAGACAAAACAUCCAUACACAUAAAAUAAGUAUAUUACUUUUAAAUGUGUUUGAAUUAACAACUUAACCAUUCCCAUAGUAUUGACUAUGGGCACAGAUAGCUACAAGCAGUUAACAGCACCCCUGUAGUCCAACACUUGGUUUCCACGUGGGUCAGCAAUGGCUAAACCAUAGAGCAUUUCAUGCUGCCUGCAUUUUCUGGAUAUGGUAAGAGCUGUGGGUGGGACAAACAAGCACACAUACAUUUGCUUAAAUGCAGAAAUAACAUCCCAGCCAUCUUAUCAUGACAAGUGUUUUAUAAGCCAUUUAAAUUAGUAGCAUUAACUUUCUAUCUUCUUAUGGGAGAUUGCCAUUUCUGUCUCCCAGCUGAAAGGUACAGACGGUUGAAUCCCUCAGCCUUUCACCAACACAAAACACAAUGCUUUGGCACAGGGAAAUGACAGAAAUUUGAAACAAAGGUACUGAGUCACAACACAAACAGUUCAUUGUUGUAUAGGUCUGAGAGAAUAAUGUUAGCGACUGGAGCUUCAACUCAGCUGUGUGCUGCGCAUAUGUAGCUCCUCUAAAUACCAGACAUCAGCCCGUUAGUUGCUCCCAUGAGCAGGCAUUCCAGGAGGCCCAACUGGAAGUGGGCAGAUGUGUACUGUGUACUAGAGAUUUGGGUACCAAAACAUACAGAACAUUCAUGUUCUGCUGUGGAAAUCUGGGAGGAGCAGAGCUACUGUUUUUAAGAGUUCUUAGAUUGCUGAUUGUGCUUCAUAAUGCUCACUCCGACUUUCACAGUCUUAACCAUAUUAAAAAGAGGAAAAUACUCCUUUAUUCUGCUGAGCUUUCUAUGUCCUGCUAAAGUUAUGUUCCUUAAUAAGAGAAAGGGGACUGGUAGAAAUGAAAUUUGGGGUGGUUUUUAAAAAAAAAACAUCUGGGAAAUAAACUUCUUUAUUUGUAAAAUGAGGACAGUGAUGUCAUCAUGCUUCCUUCUGGAAAAGCAGGGAAAACAAAGGUCACACUGAUGCCGAACAUUUGAAACAGUUCAGUGCUCAUAGCAAUGACCAGAUGAUCAGAUGGGGACAGGGUUGCAUUCUUGUUUACCAAGAGGAAAGAACAAAGAAAUGGUACACUCUGUGUCCAAGGCCACAAGUUAAGAUACAGUAGAACCUGGACGUGUGAGAGUAUUCUAGCUCUGAACAUGUGCAUCUCUCUGUCCACCCCUACGGUUAUGAGUGGUAGUACUUAGUCCUGAGCCAGAAUUUCACUAGGAUAGGAUACUGAGAAGUCAUAUGAAAGAAAAAUGGAGAAAUUAGCAUGCCUGAAGCUUGCCCUGUCCUUCGACACAACACCUGUGAGAUGAGUAAAUGUGGGAAACAUGAGACAAGAGAAACCAUUGAUAAAUGGUUGCUUAGUUUUUCAUAUUGUGUAGAAUUUUCCUAUCUUAUAUUGUGUCAUAUGCUACCACAAUAAAAUUGGUUGGUACUGAUUCUGUUAGUCUAUAGAAUUUGCUGUGAUUCUCAUAUAUGGUGUGAACGUCGGUGGCAUAUAUUAAUAAAGGUAUCUUUAAUGCUCUUGUUCAG